GAUGUGGAUGAGAAUUGAGUUGCAAUGCAUGUUGAUAUUCUGUGAAAUAGAUGUGUGAUGAAUUAUGAUUGUGGUUAUGAUGCUAAGCAGGAUGCAUGAUUGAAUUUUGUGUGAGAAAGCAUGUGUGUGAGAUUUUGAGCUCUAGAGUUUUUAUUGUUGUAUGCAUUGUUCACAGGAAAACAUGAUUAAUAUUGCCUUAAUCUUGAUGAUUAAUUGAAUUGCAUGUAAAUGUCAUAUGAUCAAGGCCAUUCUUGAGAACCCUUCUCUAGCCAAAUUUUCACCCAAAAUGCUUGAAAAUAUUAUACCCUUUUUGAACCUUAGCCUUAAAACAAGAUGCGAACCCUUGUCUUUAAAUGCUUUACCUUGAGUUGGGAUGAGCUUAAAUGUAUGUGAUAAAAAGGUUCAAGUUUGGGGUUGUAUGGGGGAAAAUUGAAAAGCAACUGUGAAACAUUGAGCUCGAAUGUUGUGAAAAGAAAAAUUCAUGAGAAAAAGAAAAGAAAAGAAGAAAAGCAUGAAGAGGAGCUCAAUGAAAAAGAAAAAGGGGAAAAGUUGGGAAUAAGUGAGAUUGAUGAGGAAGAGAGUUGUGCUUAAAUUGUUAAAUAUUUUGAAAGCUCUCUUAACUCAAGGACUUUGUAUUCUAGAAAAACCAAUUUUUCUUGUUAGCCCAACCUCAUCACAAGCCUUGAAAAAGUCCUUUUGAUGGCAUUUGCAUGCAAAAAUGUUGGUUGCUUGAGAUGAAUGGCAAUUUCGUUUC
rnacentral:lncRNA from 1 species